GUGGGGAAUAUUGGACAAUGGGCGAAAGCCUGAUCCAGCCAUGCCGCGUGUGUGAAGAAGGUCUUCGGAUUGUAAAGCACUUUAAGUUGGGAGGAAGGGCAGUAAGUUAAUACCUUGCUGUUUUGACGUUACCGACAGAAUAAGCACCGGCUAACUUCGUGCCAGCAGCCGCGGUAAUACGAAGGGUGCAAGCGUUAAUCGGAAUUACUGGGCGUAAAGCGCGCGUAGGUGGUUUUGUAAGUUGGAGGUGAAAUCCCCGGGCUCAACCUGGGAACUGCCUCCAAAACUGCAUGACUAGAGUACGGUAGAGGGUAGUGGAAUUUCCUGUGUAGCGGUGAAAUGCGUAGAUAUAGGAAGGAACACCAGUGGCGAAGGCGUCUACCUGGACUGAUACUGACACUGAGGUGCGAAAGCGUGGGGAGCAAACAGGAUUAGAAACCCCGGUAGUCC
rnacentral:rRNA from 1 species